GAGAUGGUGGGGGAGGAGUGCGAAGGAAUGGAAGGGAAGAGGGCCAGUGCGUUCCCUGUCUACUUAGGCACCGGGGAGCCUGUUGGGCUCCGGGGCCUAACCCUCUGCCCUCGGAGCCUCCCUCCUGCCGUGCAGAGCCCAACCCCGCCCCUACACCCCAACCCAGGGCCCUACCUCUAUACUUGGAGACCCCUCUGAGACCCCCUCCAACCAGCUGGGCCUAAACCCCACCCAUACACCCUCACCCAGGGCCUUACCUCCAAACUCUGGAACUCCACACUCCAGAGGCCCUCUUUUCCACGUGCUGCCUCUCCCCUUCCACGUAGAUCCUAAGCAGAGGCCCCCUGCACCCCCAUGCUUGAACGUCAACCCCCCACCCGCCUAGGUCCCGCCCCACCCUAAACCCCAGCCCUGCCUAAGUUCCACCCCCAUAGCCAAGGCUUUUUUUUUUCUUUUCUUUUUUCCUCUUUUAGAUUGGGGUUCGGUUUUACCUUGUUGAUUCAUUGUUGUUGAUUCUUUUAUAUUUUUAUUUUUCCUAAUAAAUCUUGUAUUUUUCUAAUUUUAUUUUAUUCUUUAUAUUUUAGGGAUCUCUCCUUUUGGCUUGUUGCCCCUGCCUCCCCCCCUUUUUUUUUCUUUCUCUGAUGUGGUUUUAUUUUACCUUGUUGCAGUUGUUUCAUUUACAGUUCCAUUUUUCCUAAUAUAUUUUUUAUCUUUCUAAUUUUAUUUUGUUUUUUAUUCUUUGAUAUUGUACUGCUCCUUUUUUUCUCUUUUUUUAAAAAUUUAUUUAUUUAUUUAUUUAUUUUUGGCUGCAUUGGGUCUUCGUUGCUGCGCGCGGGCUUUCUCUACUUGCGGUGAGGGGGGGCUACUCUUUGUUUUGGUGUGCAGGCUUCUCAUUGCGGUGGCUUCUCCUGUUGCGGAGCACGGGCUCUAGGCAUGCAGGCUUCAGUAGUUGCAGCAUGCAGGCUCAGUAGUUGUGGCACUUGGGCUCAGUAGUUGUGGCACUGGGACUCAGUAGUUGUGGCUCGCGGGCUCUAGAGCGCAGGCUCAGUAGUUGUGGUGCACGGGCUUAGUUGCUCCGUGGCAUGUGGGAUCUUCCCAGACCAGGGCUCGAACCCGUGUGCCCUGCAUGGCAGGCGGAUUCUUAACCACUGCACCACCAGGGAAGCCACCCUGUUUUUCUUUCUUUCUUCCUUUUUUUUAACAACUUCACAAAGCUUGUGGCAUCUUGGUUGCCAGGCCAGAGGUUGGGACUGAGCUCCUGUGGUGGGAGCUCCAAGUCCAAAAUGCUGGACUAACAGAGAACCUCAGACCCCAGGGAAUAUCGAUCGGAGUGAGGCCUCCCAGAGGUCCUCAUCUCAGCACCAAGACACAGUUGUAUCCAACUGCCUGCAGACUCCAGUGCUGGACGUCUCAGGCCAAACAACCAGUAAGACAGGAAUACAGCACCACCCAUCAAAAAAAAAAAAAAAGAAAAAAGAAACAACAAAAAAAGUAUGUUACAGACAAAGGAGCAAGGUAAAAACCUAUAAUAUGAAAUAAAUGAAAACGAAAUAGGCAACCUACCUGAAAAAGAAUUCAGAGUAAUGAUAAUAUAGAUGAUCCAAAGUUUCGGAAACAGAAUGGAGAAAAUACAAGAAACAUUUAACAAGGAUCUAGAAGAACUAAAGAGCAAACAAACAGUGAUGAACCACACAAUUACUGAAAUUAAAAAUACUCUAGAAGGAAUCAAUAACAGAAUAACUGAGGCAGAAGAACAGAUAAGUGAGCUGGAAGAUAAAAUGGUGGAAAUAAUGGCCAGGGAGCAUAAUAAAGAAAAAAGAAUGAAAAGAAUUGAAGACAGUCUCAGAGACCUCUGGGACAACACUAAACACACCAACAUUCAAAUUAUAGGGUCCCAGAAGAAGAAGAGAAAAAGAAAGGGCCUGAGAAAGUAUUUGAAGAGAUUAUAGUUGAAAACUUACCUAACAUGGGAAAGGAAAUAGUCAAUCAAGUCCAAGAAGCACAGAGAGUACUACACAAGUUAAACCCAAAGAGAAACAUGCCGAGACACAUGUUAAUCAAACUAUCAAAAAUUAAAUACAAAGAAAAAAUAUUAAAAGCAGCAAGGGGAAAGCAACAAAUAACAUACAAGGGAAUCCCCAUAAGAUUAACAGCUGAGUUUUCAGCAGAAACUCUGCAAGCCAGAAGGGAGUGGCAGGACAUAUUUAAAGUGAUCAAAGGCAAAAACCUAAAACCAAGAUUAUCCAGCAAGGAUCUCAUUCAGAUUCAAUGGAGAAAUUAAAACCUUUACAGAUAAGCAAAAGUUAAGAGAAUUCAGCACCACCAAGCCAGCUUUACAACAAAUGCUAAAGGAACUUCUCUAGGCAGGAAACACAAAAGAAGGAAAAGAGCUACAAAAACAAACCCAACACAAUUAAGAAAAUAGUAAUAAGAACAUACAUAUUGAUAAUUAUCUUAAAUGUAAAUGGAUUAAAUGCUCCAACCAAAAGACAUAGACUGGCUGAAUGGAUACAAAAACAAGACCUGUACAUAUGCUGUCACAAGAGACCCAUUUCAUACCUAGGGACUCAUACAGACUGAAAGUGACGGGAUGGAAAAAGAUAUUCCAUGCAAAUGGAAAUCAAAAGAAAGCUGGAAUAGCCAUUCUCAUAUCAGACAAAAUAAACUUUAAAAUAAAGACUAUUACAAGAGACAAAGAAGGACACUACAUACUGAUCAAGGGAUCGAUCCAAGAAGAAGAUAUAACAAUUGUAAACAUUUAUGCACCCAACAUAGGAGCACCUCAAUACAUAAGGCAAAUACUAACAGCCAUAAAAGGGGAAAUUGACAGUAACACAUUCAUAGUAGGGGACUUUAACACCCUACUUUCACCAAUGGAAAGAUCAUCCAAAAUGAAUAUAAAUAAGGAAACACAAGCUUUAAAUGAUACAUUAAACAAGAUGGACUUAAUUGAUAUUUAUAGGACAUUCCAUCCAAAAACAACAGAAUACACAUUUUUCUCAAGUGCUCAUGGAACAUUCUCCAGGAUAGAUCGUAUCUUGGGUCACAAAUCAAGCCUUAGUAAAUUUAAGAAAAUUGAAAACGUAUCAAGUAUCUUUUCCAGCCACAAUGCUAUGAGAAUAGAUAUCAAUUACAGGAAAAAAUCUGAAAAAAUACAAACACAUGGAGGCUAUACAAUACACUACUAAAUAACCAAGAGGUCACUGAAAAAAUCAAAGACGAAUUUAAAAAAUACCUAGAAACAAAUGACAAUGGAAACACGACGACCCAAAACCUAUGGGAUGCAGCACAAGCAGUUCUAAGAGAAGUUUAUAGCAAUACAAUCCUACCUUAAGAAACAAGAAACAUCUCAAAUAAACAACCUAACCUUACACCUAAAGCAAUUAGAGAAAGAAGAACAAAGAAACCCCAAAGUUAGCAGAGGGAAAGAAAUCAUAAAGAUCAGAUCAGAAAUAAAUGAAAAAGAAAUGAAGGAAACAAUAGCAAAGAUCAAUAAAACUAAAAGCUGGUUCUUUGAGAAGAUACACAAAAUUGAUAAACCAUUAGCCAGACUCACCAAGAAAAAAAGGGAAGAGACUCAAAUCAACAAAAUUAGAAAUGAAAAAGGAGAAGUAACAACUGACCCUGCAGAAAUACAAAGGAUCAUGAGAGAUUACUGCAAGCAACUAUAUGCUGAUAAAAUAGACAACCUGGAAGAAAUGGACAAAUUCUUAGGAAAGCACAACCUUCCAAGACUGCACCAGGAAGAAAUAGAAGAUAUAAACAGACCAAUCACAAGCACUGAAAUUGAAACUCUGAUUAAGAUCUUCCAACAAACAAAAGUCCAGGACCAGAUGGCUUCACAGGCGAAUUCUGUCAAACAUUUAGAGAAGAUCUAACACUUAUCCUUCUCAAACUCUUCCAAAAUAGAGCAGAGGGGGGAAGACUCCCAAACUCAUUCUACAAGGCCACCAUCACCCUGAUACCAAAACCAGACAAAGAUGUCACAAAGAAGGAAAACUGCAAGCCAAUAUCACUGAUGAAGAUAGAUGCAAAAAUCCUCAACAAAAUACUAGCAAACAGAAUCCAACAGCACAUUAAAGGGUCAUACACCAUGAUCAAGUGGGGUUUAUCCCAGGGAUGCAAGGAUUCUUCAAUAUACGCAAAUCAAUCAACGUGAUACACCAUAUUAACAAAUUGAAGGAGAAAAACCAUAUGAUCAUCUCAAUAGAUGCAGAGAUAGCUUUCGACAAAAUUCAACACCCAUUUAUGAUAAAACUCUCCAGAAAGUAGGCAUAGAGGGAACCUACCUCAACAUAAUAAAGACCAUAUAUGACAAACCCACAGCCAACAUCGUCCUCAGUGGUGAAAAACUGAAACCACUUCCUCUAAGAUCAGGAACAAGACAAGCAUGCCCAGUCUCACCAUUGUUAUUCAACAUAGUUUUGGAAGUUUUAGCCACAGCAAUCAGAGAAGAAAAAGAAAUAAAAAGGAAUCCAGAUCGGAAAAGAAGGAAAACUGUCACUGUUUGCAGAUGACAUGAUACUAUACAUUGAGAAUCCUAAAGAUGCUACCAGAAAAUUACUAGAGCUAAUCAAUGAAUUUGGUAAAGUAGCAGGAUACAAAAUUAAUGUACAGAAAUCUCUUGCAUUCCUAUACACUAAUGAUGAAAAAUCUGAAAGAGAAACUAAGGAAACACUCCCAUUUACCAUUGCAACAAAAAGAUAAAAUACCUAGGAAUAAAUCUACCUAAGGAGACAAAAAACCUGUAUGCAGAAAACUCUAAGACAGUAAUGAAAGAAAUCAAAGAUGAUACAAACAGAUGGAGAGAUAUACCAUGUUCUUGGAUUGGAAGAAUCAAUAUUGUGAAAAUGACUGUACUAUCCAAAGCCAUCUACAGAUUCAAUGCAAUCCCUAUGAAACUACCAAUGGCGUUUUUUCCCAGAACUAGAACAAAAAAUUGCACAAUCUGUAUGGAAACAGAAAAGACCCCGAAUAGCCAAACAAUCUUGAGAAAGAAAAAUGGAGCUGGAGGAAUCAGACUCCCGGACCUCAGACUAUACUACAGAGCUACAGUAAUCAAGACACUAUGGUACUGGCACAGAAACAGAAAGAUAGAUCAAUGGAACAGGAUAGAAGCCCAGAGAUAAACCCAUUCACAUAUGGUCACCUUAUCUUUGAUAAAGGAGGCAAAAAUAUACAAUGGAGAAAAGACAGCCUGUUCAAUAAGUGGUUCUGGGAAAACUGGACAGCUGCAUAUAAAAGAAUGAAAGUAGAACACUCCCUGACACCAUAAACAAAAAUAAACUCAAAAUGGAUUAAAGACCUAAAUGUAAGGCCAGACACUAUAAAACUCUUAGAGGAAAACAUAGGCCGAAUACUCUAUGACAUAAAUCACAGCAAGAUCCUUUUUGACCCACCUCCCAGAGAAAUGGAAAUAAAAACAAAAGUAAACAAAUGGGACCUAAUGAAACUUAAAAGCUUUUGCACAGCAAAGGAAACCAUAAACAAGACGAAAAGACAACCCUCAGAAUGGGAGAAAAUAUUUGCAAACGAAGCAACUGACAAAGGAUUAAUCUCCAAAAUAUACAAGCAGCUCAAUAUCAAAAAAACAUACAACUCAAUCCAGAAAUGGACAGAAGACCUAAACAGAUAUUUCUCCAGAGAAGAUAUAGAGAUGGCCAACAAACACAUGAAAAGAUGCUCACCAUCACCAAUCAUUAGAGAAAUGCAAAUCAAAACUACAAUGAGGUAUCACCUCACACCAGUCAGAAUGGCCAUCAUCAAAAAAUAAAUCCUGGAGAGGGUGUGGAGAAAAGGGAACCCUCUUGCAGUGUUGGUGGGAAUGUAAAUUGUUACAGUUACUAUGGAGAACAGUAUGGAGGUUUCUUAAAAAAUUAAAAAUAGAACUACCAUAUGAGCCAGCAAUCCCACUACUGGGCAUAUACCCUAAGAAAACCAUAUUCAGAAAGAGUCAUGUACUACAGUGUUCAUUGCAGCUCUAUUUACAAUAGCCAGGACAUGGAAGCCACCUAAGUGUCCAUUGACACAUGAAUGGAUAAAGAAGAUGUGGCACAUAUAUACAGUGGAAUAUUAGCCAUGAAAAGAAACACAAUUGAGUUAUUUGUAGUGAGGUGGAUGGACCUAGAAUCUGUCAUACAGAAUGAAGUAAGCCAGAAAGAGAAAACAAAUACCGUAUGCUAACCCAUACAUAUGGUAUCUUAAAAAAAAAAAAAAAAGGUUCUAAUGAACGUAGGAGCAUGCGAGGAAUAAAGACACAGUUGUAGAGAAUCGACUUGAGGACACAGGGAGGGGGGAAGGGUAAGCUCGGACGAAGUGAGAGAGUAUCACUGACGUAUAUACACUACCAAAUGUAAAAUAGAUAGCUAGUGGGAAGUAGCUGCAUGGCACAGGGAGAUCAGCUCGGUGCUUUGUGACCACCUAGAGGGUUAGGAGAGGGAGGGUGGGAGGGAGAUGCAAGAGGGAGAGGAUUUGGGGAUAUAUGUAUAUGUAUAGCUGAUUCACUUUGUUAUACAGCAGAAACUAACAACACUGUAAAGCAAUUAUACUCCAAUAAAGAUGUUAAAAAAAGAUGAGCAGGAGCAGGGACUGUAGUUUUUAAACAUAAAAUUGGCCAGGAUCCCAGAAAGAGAACCAUCCUAAGAUUCUUUCGAGGACUGGGAUCCCGUAGCUCAAAAACAGAGACAUUGUAGAAGAAAAUUGAGUAUUCAUCAAAGAGGAUGAUGCCUUUAUGAAAGCACUCUGAGUAAAUUUGGAGGGCUGGACCAAAAGGAGGGAGCUCAAAUCCAAGAGCACACUUACUUAGCUGAGAGGAAGAAGAUGACUCAUGGAAGUGUUGCAGGAAGGGGGACCCCUUCCAGGGCAUGAGAGCAGUCCCUUGUCUAACUCUCAGAAAUGAAUUGUUUGAGGAGACACACAUGCUGACAAAGCAAGAGACUAUGGGGAAGGGGCGCCUGGGUGGUGAGCAGCAGGGGAAGGGAACCCAGGAGAACUCUGCCACGUGGCUCACAGUCUUGGGUUUUUUGGGAAUGGGGUUAGUUUCUGGGUUGUCUCUGGCUAAUCACUCUGACUCAGGGUCCUUCUUGGUGGCAUGCGCAUCACUCAGCAAAGAUGGAUUACAGUGCGAAGGAUUCUGGGAGGUUGAUAGGACAUAUGGACUGGAUUCUCCUCUCUCCUUCUGACCUUUCCUGGAUUCUUCCGGUUGGUGGUAGCUUGUUAGUUUUGCAUUCCUUACCAGGACCUCCUGUUUAAAAUAACUCAUGCAAGUGGUUACUAUGAUGCCUGGCCAGGGCGGGUGGUUUCAGUCAGUGGUUCCCUAACAUAAGCAGAGAUUACAGGGGAUCAAGUGGGUACUACACACGGUUCCAAGGAUUGUUAGUUCCUCAGGAGUUCAGUUGCGUUGAACCCCAUCUCUGACACCAUAUAAUGUCAACCUGAAACAGCGGUUCUUAUUAAGCAAAGAUGAGUUUAUUUGGGAAUAGCAGAAGAAUUGCAAUUUGGCGCCGGAGAAGUAUGGUGAACCAUAAGCAAGUCCGAGGAGACAAAGUGGAGGUUAGCUUUUAUUAGAAUCUGGGAGGAAAUUGGGGAGUGUUGUUUUGAACAGAAGUCCAUUGGAGGAGAAUGAGAGUUUGGGCUUGUGGUGGUUUGACAUUGGUUUCAAGUUGUUGGCAGUUUGCUGUUACUGAGGAAUGUGGAAAUCUUUCUGCUGGCUGUGUAAGUUGAUAGGAGGGGUGAGAGCUCUUCCUUCAUGAUUUUCCGACUCCAUUUUAUUUUAUUUCAUUUAUUUUUUUUAAUAAAUUUAUUUAUUAUAUUUGGCUGUGUUGGGUCUUCGUUGCUGCGCACGGGCUUUCUCUAGUUGCGGCGAGCGGGGGCUACUCUUCAUUGCAGUGUGCGGGCCUCUCAUCGUCGUGGCUUCUCUUGUUGCAGAGCAUGGGCUGUAGGCGUGUGGGCUUCAGUAGUUGUGACUUGCAGGCUCUAGAGGGCAGGCUCAGUAGUUGUGGCGCAUGGGCUUAGUUGCUCCACGGCAUGCGGGAUCUUCCCGGACCAGGGCUCGAACCCAUGUCCCCUGCAUUGGCAGGCGGAUUCUUAACCACUGCGCCACCAGGGAAGUUCCCCGAAACCAUUUUAAAUUAGGGUUCCAUUAUCCAGUUAAACAAGUCUGAGAAAAAAGAUUCUUCUAAAAGAAAUGGAGAACUGUCGUUUGAAUAGAGCCUGUUUGAAUGUUUGUUAGUCUGACCUUUGAUCAUGUAUUUCUAUGUGAUGGAAUUCUCAAUUUAUAUUUUUAUUUAUUUUUAAUUUUUUUAUCUUUAUUGGAGUAUAAUUGCUUUACAAUGUUGUGUUAGUUUCUGCUGUACUCAAUUUUUAAUAAUGUUUCUAAUUGAAAAAACUGUUAGACCUUUUUUCUAAGUAGCUACUUCUUUUUUUCUUAAGUAGCUACUUUCUUUUUUUUUCUUUUUUUUCUUUUUUUUUUGUGGUACGCAGGCCUCUCACUGUUGUGGCCUCUCCCAUUGCGGAGCACAGGCUCCGGACACGCAGGCUCAGCGGCCAUGGCUCACGGGCCCAGCUAUUCCGUGGCACGUGGGAUCCUCCUGGACCAGGGCACGAACCCAUGUCCCCAGCAUCGGCAGGCGGACUCUCAACCACUGCGCCACCAGGGAAGCCCAAGUAGCUACUUUCUUACUACUUUUUGAAAGCAAUAUGAAGCCAAAUUAUUUCUGAUUGUCACUUAUAGUUAACAAAAUGCUGAAAGAGAUGUUGGAAAGGAGAUUAAAAUUUUUUCCCAAGAUACUCAGUGUGAUAUUCUCCCUAUUUCUUAUCCCUGAAGUUGUAUGGUUCUGAACAGCUGUCCUGAGGAAGCAGGUCUCAUACAUGGUAUGUUAUUAAGUGUCAGGAUUCAAAGGAGUGUAGAACUGCUUUGUAGAAUUUGAUAUUUUUCACACAAACAUGUCAGAAACUUCUUUGAGGAUGGAGUCAGAAAAGGUUAAAAGCAUGAACAAAAGAGUUUUGAUUGUAUGUUCUUGUGUCAGUGUGCCAGUGGAACAAAUUUGGAAAAUGUUAGCUGGGUACAGAUCGUCCCUGCCCCACCAUACUGCACACCUCUCUAGUGGACCAGAAUAUUCAUGUUUCUUAUCAGAUUGUGUUGGGUCAGCAUUGUUAAAUUUCCAUUAUCCGGGGACUUCCAUGGUGGUCCAGUGGUUGAGACUCUUAGCUUCCACUGCAGGGCGCUUGGGUUCGAUCCCUGGUCAGUGAACUAAGAUCCCGCAUGCUGCACGGUGUGGCCAAAAAAAAAAAAAAAAAAAAAAAAUUCCAUCAUCCAAUGCCCUUUUAAAAAUUUAAAAAUCAAAUAUCAAAAGUAGUUUUACCUUUCUUGCCAGGCACACUGCAAUUGAGACUAGAAAUUGCUACUCAUUAGUCACAUUCCAUUCUUGUGUUCUUGAAAAUAUACCAUGAUCUUUGGAUGAGAAUUUGGAGAAUACCCUAAGUUUAACCAGGCAAAGGCAAGUCAUUGAGGACUUUUAAGCAGGAAAGUGAUUUAGGGAAUCUAAAUUUCUGGUGGCUUUUAAGAUCUUUGUCCGUUGUGCCUUGUGGUUUGACUCUUAUGUGUCUAGAUGCAGAUUUCUGUAUAUUUAUCCUGCCUGGGAUUUGUUGUGCUCUCCAAAUUCCACAUUUAUGUCUUUUAUUCAAUGGAGAAUACUCAGUUAUUAUCCCUCUAAGAACUGUUUUACUACAUCCUCUUGUCUUUUCUCCUGAACUCUAAGUAUGUGUGUUACACCUUCUUCUAUCCUUUUUGUCUCUUAGUCCUUCUAGUGUUUUGCGGGGAAAAAUGAGAGGAGUGGAUUUCUCUCUCAAUGAUAUAUUCCAGUUUUUUGGCUGUGCCUCGUGGCUUGCAGGAUCUUAGUUCCCCGACCAGAGAUUGAACCCGGGCCCCCAGCAGUGGAAGCGCUGAGUCCUAACCACUGGACCACCAGAUGAGCAGAUCAGGAAGAAUAAAUAAGGACAAAGAGGAUUUGAACAACAUAAUUAACAAGCUUGACCUACUAAAUACACAUAAGUAAACAGAGUAUAAAUUUUUUUGCAAAUUCCCAUGGAAUAUUUAGUACCUCCCAGCACACACAUAAGCAUCUUAGAUUUAUUGAAAAAGUAAAUUUUCUGGGAAUAGUGGUUACUAUUUUAAUAUAGUAAUAGUUUAGGUUGUAACCUAAGGAAAAAGUGCCCAUAGGAAAAAGCAAGAAAAGGCAAAACGUUUCAAUCAAGUUUUGCAAACAGAGAAAAGACAGCCACAAGGAAGAAUGCCUUGGCCUCCUGCGUGGCUCCAGCUGGGACCCCUUGGGCUCUGGAGCCGUCUCUGGAGCCCCCAGGCCCAUCUGUCUUGUCAGCACUCUUCUGUUUCUAGGUUAAGGAGCUCAGCCUUCUCAGAUGUGGCUUGAGAAACAUAGCCUUCUAAUCCAGGAGAGUAAGAAGACUUAGGAUUGGGGAGGGGGCAGGAGUGAGCCGCAGAGAAACAGUCUUCAGGGGUUGGGCCUGGGUGUGAGGGACAUACCCCAACUGAGCAACCUCCCUCUUCAAAUCCUCCUCGCAGGCCUGAUCUGACUGAGGUCAGAGCUGCCUGCUGCCUGAAAGCAAGGAGCCCUGAAUGCUUGGCCAGGGCUGUGGAUAUCCUCACUGGCUUUCUCGGGGAAGGUAUGCUGGACUAGGCCGGCACCUAAUUUAUCGGACCUCUAGAUCUGGAAGAAAUCAGAUCAGCCCGGCAUCCCUCGGCCAACUCUGAAGACAAGAUGGGGAUCACACCUGUGUGUUAAAGAGGUUUCUGCCUCGUUGUGGCUCGUAGUAAACACAUACCAAAGAAGGUAAGAGCUUUCUUUCUAGCCUGAAGUACAGAAAUAGCUGAGACCAUGAGGGCAACAAACUUAUGUUUCACCCGGGAAAUAGAUACAGGUUUGGCCUGGGGACAGAGUAAGAGACGGCCCCUUUGUUAUCUCAUCCAUUUACCAAGGGAGGGUCUUUGCUGUGUGUGUUUCGAGGUCUUCGAGUCCUGGAUGAUGAAUCUUGCAUUUCUUGGGUUCACUUACUGGGCAGAUAAACAAUUACCUACAUUAAAAAAAAAAAAAGAUAAUGUCAGAUAUGGAUGAUACUAAGUCAAAUCCUAGAAGGACAAGGACUCUCACCCAUGCGGUGUAAAUGUGCCAGUUACCAGAUAAGAUGGCUCAGCUGGGGAAUCACCAGCUAGAGAAGCAGUUAGUCAUUACCAAAAGGCGCUGAGGACAUAUCAAGCUCAUGUUUCAUUUUUUUUUUAAUAGGAGAUAGUCUUUUUUUAAAAAUUUAUUUAUUCUUGGCUGUGUUGGGUCUUCGUUUCUGUGCAAGGGCUUUCUCUAGUUGCAGCGAGCGGGGGCCACUCUUCAUCGCAGUGCACGGGCCUCUCACUGUCGCGGCCUCUCUUGUUGCGGAGCACAAGCUCCAGACGCGCAGGCUCAGUAGUUGUGGCUUACGGGCCUAGUUGCUCCGCGGCAUGUGGGAUCCUCCCAGACCAGGGCUCGAACCCGUGUCCUCUGCAUUGGCAGGCAGAUUCUCAACCACUGCGCCACCAGGGAA